rnacentral:tRNA from 2 species
GGUAGGAUACUCAAGUGGCCAACGAGGGGAGACUGUAAAUCUCCUGGCUUACGCCUUCCCUGGUUCGAAUCCAGGUCCUACCACCA